AGUGAACGCUGGCGGUAGGCCUAACACAUGCAAGUCGAACGGCAGCACAGUAAGAGCUUGCUCUUACGGGUGGCGAGUGGCGGACGGGUGAGGAAUACAUCGGAAUCUACUUUUUCGUGGGGGAUAACGUAGGGAAACUUACGCUAAUACCGCAUACGACCUACGGGUGAAAGCAGGGGAUCUUCGGACCUUGCGCGAUUGAAUGAGCCGAUGUCGGAUUAGCUAGUUGGCGGGGUAAAGGCCCACCAAGGCGACGAUCCGUAGCUGGUCUGAGAGGAUGAUCAGCCACACUGGAACUGAGACACGGUACAGACUCCUACGGGAGGCAGCAGGGGGGAAUAUUGGACAAUGGGCGCAAGCCUGAUCCAGCCAUACCGCGUGGGUGAAGAAGGCCUUCGGGUUGUAAAGCCCUUUUGUUGGGAAAGAAAAGCAGCAGGUUAAUACCCCGCUGUUCUGACGGUACCCAAAGAAUAAGCACCGGCUAACUUC
rnacentral:rRNA from 1 species